AAAUACGAGAUGCGGGGUUUCGAUUGUUUCUUCGAAGUUGGGGAAUUGUUGCGCUUUUUUAUGAAGGGUAAGGGGGCAAAGUGAGGGCUGCCUGAGCUGCACGACCAUGAUUUUUGCUUCAUCCCGAAUCUGAUGGCGGCGCCGCCAGCCGGCACGGCGGAGAUGUACGGUACUCGAUGUCGGUGGCGGUGGCGCGGAUUGGGGGUUGUCGGUUUUCCGGUGUUCAAGUCAACAUGAAAACUGGACCCUGGGCACAAUGAUAUGCUGAAACCAGAGCCGACAUAUAAUUGCAUCUAGCACCCUUAGAGUUAUGCGUAAUUACAAUUCGACCCAAUCAGAUUUAGAAAUUUACACUAGCGCCCCUAUUAUAUUAUAUUGCCAGCCCUGGCCCACACCUAAUCUCACGCCAGGUUUCCGUCAAGUUAAUAUAGAGGUUUCCGUCGCCGUUUUUUCCUUCCUGUGAAGCCCCGCCGCAAAGCAGAUACCGGUCACCGAAAACCCUACUCCGGUACACAGCUCCGGCGAACGAGAUCGUACUUAUUUAUUUUUCUAACAAUUAUUUGUAAUUGGUCUAAUUAGCCAUGCCUUCAAUGGCUUCGAAUAAUUCCGCACACACUGCGAAGAGGAAAUUCAAUCAACUCAAUGGACCUACUAAACCCGACUUCGUCGCCAGGAGGCAAAAGCUUGAGCAGCACAGAAAAGCUCUACCAAUUGCUCCGGGUG